AAAUGUUUUAAUGGGCCUUAUCUGCAUAUGAAACAUUGAACAGAAUGAUCAACAUUGAUGCGUUUUCAGCAUGUGGGUUGUUCAGUAUGAUUGUUGACAUUGAGAAUGGCUAAAGUAAUUAAAAUAUUUAAAACUGUGAGAGAGAAUUGGAAGAAAUCAAUUUUGGCCAUUGUAAUAACAGGAUAUGGAGUGAAAUUUGUCAAUAGGAAGUAUGAAGAAGAUCUCUUACGAAGGGAAUAUUGCAAAGAAGCAAAGAAAUAUGCAUCUACUGGAAAAGCUUCAAAACUUUUUGAGAAGAAUGCAGCACCUUUGCUUCACUUGGCAGGUCUUGAAGUUAAUCUCAUUAAGACAGAAUAUGAGGGGCAAGUUAAAAAGUUCAUGGAAGUCAUGGAAAAGAACUGAAACUGAUGGAAUCAUAGCUGCUGGGGGAGGAGGAACACUCCUAGAGACUGUGACUGGUGUCAUGAAAAAAGAAGAUAAGGAGUUCAAGAAAAAGAUACCAAUAGGAGUUAUACCCCUUGGAAAGACUAACUUGUUUGCCAAAUUACUCUUUGGGUCAGAUAAAGAACAAGUGAGAUUCAUACUGGAUUCUGCUCUUGCUGUAGUCGAUGGAUUUUCAAAGAAAAUGGAUGUGGUGGAAUAUAAGAGUGAGGAUGGAAGAAACACCUACUCAUUGGUCGGGCUGACUGCAGGGGCAUACAGUGAGGCAGAGAAGAAAAAACAAAAGUACUGGUAUUUCGGCCCAGUUGAACCAAGACCUCAAAAUUCCCAAGAGGUUUUUGAGGAGGUUGAGGCUGAGGAUGGUCAAGAGGAGGAAUACACCUCAGAGGAUGUAACAACUGUAGAAUUCUCUGUCAUUGCUCCCAUUGUUCAAAACCAACAACAGAAAAUUGUGGCCCCUGAACUACACAUUGGUCCAAGUCAAAUUGCCAGAAAAGACUUCAUAAGUGAAGGAUUCAGGCGAGAGAAGCUGGCCACACGCGUGUAUAGCUCCCCAGACAGUCGGCAUUCACUAGUGAAGAGAAUCAAGUUUGUCCCCGACUUGCCAGAAGAUACCGAGAAAAAAGUGUGGUACUCUAUAGAUGGGGAACAGUUUGAGGCUGUGCCUGUGGAAAUUAAACUACUCCGAAACAGACUUAAUGUAUUUCACAGUUCUAGAACGUUGCCAUGUUAAUCCAUACUAAGCUACAUUCAUGAAUUUAUCUAUGUUUAUGACCCUGAAGACUGCAUUUUGUGAUGAUGAGAAAAUGGAAAAGUUUGAAUAGAAAAGAAUACUUACUAUGUUGAUUUAUUAUUUUCGUUAAUGUCAAAUACGUCAUAAGAAAUUAAAUUGGAACUGAUUUUCUUAGCGUUCUGUAACCUGUAUAAGUACAUGUAUAAUAAAAGGGAUGAAAACAG
rnacentral:sRNA from 1 species